rnacentral:sRNA from 1 species
CUCUAGCCCUGAUGGGAACGGCAUCCUUUUUAUAAGGCUUUUUUUGCCUUAUAAAAAGAUAUAGUGGACAGCAGGAGAUUGC